rnacentral:rRNA from 1 species
UUAUUUGAGAGUUUGAUCCUGGCUCAGGAUGAACGCUGGCGGCGUGCCUAACACAUGCAAGUUGAGCGAUUUACUUCGGUAAAGAGCGGCGGACGGGUGAGUAACGCGUGGGUAACCUACCCUGUACACACGGAUAACAUACCGAAAGGUAUGCUAAUACGGGAUAAUAUAUUUGAGAGGCAUCUCUUAAAUAUCAAAGGUGAGCCAGUACAGGAUGGACCCGCGUCUGAUUAGUUAGUUGGUAAGGUAACGGCUUACCAAGGCGACGAUCAGUAGCCGACCUGAGAGGGUGAUCGGCCACAUUGGAACUGAGACACGGUCCAAACUCCUACGGGAGGCAGCAGUGGGGAAUAUUGCACAAU